AGUGUUUGAGCAGAAGAGAGAAAAAAAAAAAACUUUCCACACUGAAAGAAACACGUUAGUUAGCCAACAAUCGCGCCAAUUUUCUGCUUCUAUUGUUGGUGCUGACAGAUUGUGUGAGUGUGUUUGAUUGUGUGACCGUUGACAAGACGUGUCCGACACCCAACUGGUAAUAACCGUGGAAUAAAACGGAAAUGCUGGAAGAAAGCCUCGUGAUAACAGCGCAGGGUUUGCAACAGAAAUAAUUAUUGGAAUCUGGCGCUUUAUACAAGCAACUCGUAAUGAGAAGCUGCUGGAGAUCAAAUGCUAAUGGUCUCAGAGAUGACGCGGAAAAAGUUGGUCGUUGUUUAUGGACACUUGUACUGAGCCAGGUUCUGCUGGAGGAGUUUUCCUCUCCACUGUCGCCACAUACACGCACAACAUGAAAAUGCUUUAAACUAAACCAGUUCACUGAAGCUCUGUGCUUAGAGCCAUCAAGAGCGAUGGAUGACGUUUCUCUGAACCCGCUUGGAGUUAAAUUUCGCAAGUUUUGCAAAGACCAUUCAAGGACUUUCUUUCUAGAUUUGCCCAGAGCAAAACUAGUUAUCUUGCAGACAAGUCAAGGAUUCUCCGUCCUGUGCUGUGGAUCUCUGCAGCUCCUCCAGAGUUAACAUGGGCUUCAUGGUUGCCAGUCUGAUUGCUCUCCUUAAAAGACCUGCCAUUUUGGGUGGAUGGCCAUGUGUAGGUACGUUUGCACAUGGAACUUGACGUGUCUGCUGUGUUCUUUAUUUCUCAUGGCGCCGUUUGUUCUCUAAUGUCCUCUGAGAACAACUGGAUUAAUAAAGAAUGCUGUUGACUGCA